UACGUAGGUGGCAAGCGUUGUCCGGAAUUAUUGGGCGUAAAGCGCACGUAGGCGGCUUUCUAAGUCAGGGGUGAAAUCCUGGAGCUCAACUCCAGAACUGCCUUUGAUACUGGAGAGCUUGAGUCCGGGAGAGGUGAGUGGAACUCCGAGUGUAGAGGUGAAAUUCGUAGAUAUUCGGAAGAACACCAGUGGCGAAGGCGGCUCACUGGCCCGGUACUGACGCUGAUGUGCGAAAGCGUGGGGAGCAAACAGG
rnacentral:rRNA from 1 species